rnacentral:tRNA from 1 species
UCUCUGCUAGUAUAUCGGUUAGUACACGCGCCUGUCAUUUGAAAAGAACGACCGCGCGAAAGCUGGGUUCGACUCCCAGGCAGAGAG